rnacentral:lncRNA from 1 species
GCUCACGAAACUUCCCUCAUCUCCAAUUGCUGUGCUCCACCUUUUAUUAUAAUUGAUUCUGCAUCGCCAUAGGAACCCGCUCCAGCGUGAGUGAAGAGCAGCUGCCUUCCCUGUGUGCUCUCCAGGAGAGAGGCGGCUGCUCCUUCCCUUGAGAUGGCAAGUGAUGGAGCCGGGAGUCCGUGCCAGCCAGCCCAAGAAAUCUGAACCCUGGAGAUCUUUCCUCAGUGACGUGGCUGUUUGGACACAGCCUUCUCCUCCUUCUGCUGCAAUAGCAAUGCUAGUGUCCCCAUGCAGCUGCAGUGAGGAGGUCUUGGCUUGGGCAGGAGCGAAUCCCGGGCUCGGCGUGGCCGCGCCGGUGGCUAUGGAGUAACUCUGGGUGCGUGGGCACAGCGGGGAGGCUGAAGCUGGCUGCCCGGGCACCGGGGCAGCCGAAUGCGCCCUGCCCACGCGCUCCUCGCCUCUGCCAUGAAUGAUGCAUCGACGAUGGAUUAUGAACUGCUCUCCCCCUCCUUGGUUGAGCACCCAGCCGGCACCGCGGGUAUGGAUGCUGAGCAGAAAACUGUCUUUGCCUUUGUCAUCUUCCUCCUCGUCUUCUUGGUGAUGCUGAUGGUGCGCUGCUUCCGCAUCCUGCUGGACCCCUACAGCCGCAUGCCCGCCUCCUCCUGGACUGACCACAAGGAGGGGUUGGAGAGGGGCCAGUUUGACUACGCCUUGGUGUAGAGGGCAGGGAUGGGGCGAGCCUGGGUGCUCUGUGUGCCUCCCACCCCAGCUGGCCCCGGCCCCGGCCCCCCCUUCCUCUGUGGUGUUGCCCUGGGCCAGCACGGAUGCUCCGGGCAGGGAGUCUGCAGGACUCUUGGAGAGAUGUGUUGGAGAGGUGAUAUGAUUCCGCGUGGUCCCUGCUGCCCACCGUGCCCCCGGGCAGCGUCGCGUGCUGCAGUGAGGGGCAGGAGGCGAUGGGGCAGGGCACGGCGGGACCUGCCCUCAGCCACAGCCCACCGGGCUCCUGGUCUGGGUGGCUCUGCCUGGUGCCAGGCCAGAGCUUUGACCCCCACCUCCUCCUGCCCCCCAUGUCGCCCUCGUCUGUGUCCUCUGGGGAGUGCUGACCGUGGUCCAGUGCGUGUGUGUGUGUGUCCCUGUAGCUGAGCUGUGUCUGUCAGGGGGUUUAUAGGCACCAGACCCAAGUGCUGGCUUUGUUCCUCUCUGUGUGGCAGCCCCAAGUGCCCCCCCCUUCCCCACAAAUGAGGGGGAGAAGGACACCCCCCAUGCACAGCCCCCUCUCGGCGUCCAGCCCUGCAGCCUGCUCUCCGCUUUACACCGUAGUGACCUGUCCCUGCCCAACUGGUGAAAAUGGUCUGAGCAAGGUGCAGUCAUGCAGCUACCUGCAGACCUGCCUGGGUGGCCCUGCUGGGAUCCCAGGAGGGAUCAAAGGUCCCACACGACACUUGGGAGAUGCUCCUCAGCCAGCCCAAGCCUGGCAGCCUCCCACUGGUAUCUCCCAUUCUGGCCAGUCCCUGCUCCAGCAGGAUCUGGGUGGCCUCCCCGUGUCCAGGGGGUUGCUGGGGGUGGCCGGCCCUUCCCUGGCCAUCCUGCAUCUGGGUAUCAGAAGGGCUGUGUAAGCAUUCGAGGGGAAAACAAGGCUGUCCUCCUGCCCCUCUGUGGGAACCAAGCCUGAUGAGUAGGGGUGCUGUAGCUAGCCACAGGGCUAGCAAACACUAUGGUGGGUUAUGGCUGUGGGCCACUAAGAAGCUUUGUACUAAGUGGUUGGAGCCCAUGGGGGAGAACCUCUUCCCCCACCAUGGAAAUAAAGCUGCACUGUGCUAACCCCACACAGCUCUUCCUCUGCUCUUUGUUGUGUC